rnacentral:lncRNA from 1 species
CGGUGUUUCUAUAAUUGCUCUGUGAAUUAUGGGAUCAGUAACGAUGCUAAUCAAAUCAUUUCCAAGUGUAGCCAAAUUAUACUAUGACUUGUAGGAGAAUUUCCACAAGUCAUAAACUCAUAAACAUUGUAGCAAUCUACAGAGUACAAUAGAAAUACAAACUACUUAAAUAUUAAGAUAUUAUGCAUCAUAUAUACACAGUGCCUUCAACCGGAACCUACAUCGAGGCAUAUACGAUUGUACAUACAAAAGACAACCUCAAAACGUUAAUGAAAUGUCACUGACAUGGUGUAGUACUACCAAAAGUCAUAGAUAGAAUUGUACAAAGUACAUACAAUUGUUGGUGCUUAGUAAUGACAAACAAUGCUAUAUUUGCAUAAAAUCCUAAAAUCCUGUAUUGUUGAUGACUUCAUUCAACUAUUAACAUCGUUGUUUCAUGUGGAAUAUUCACCUUUAUUAUACUCAUCUUUAUUUUGCUCGGAAUAACCACUGCAAUGAACAUGUGGGAGUAAAUUCGACCACAUAAAGAAAAGCAGCAACCACCCCAAACAACGAGACUUUUACGAUUUCCUUUUUCAAGUACUCAUUUUUUACUCUGAAAAUUGUUGCAUACUAAUCAACUCUAUUAUGACUCUUUUCAAGUACUCAUUUUUUACUCUUGAAAACUCUUGCAUAUUAAUCAACUCUAUUAUGACUCUCUUCAACAGGAAAUGAUUCACUUUGAAUCUCCACUCACUUUGGAUUACAAGUCAUUGUGAGAAAAAUACCUCGGAGUCCAAAUUUCGCAACAAGUGCUAGCGCAUCAUGUAACGGCAAUCCAGAUCACGCAGCCCACCUAUGAGAUUGGAAUAGCCACCCGUGUCAACAACAACAACACACAUCUUUCUUUUUAUUGAUUUUUUAUUUGAAAAUUACAAACCACAGUCAAUAAAAAAUUAAUAGAAACACCACUUACUAAACAAUCUAACAUAAUGAUAAAUUGAAUUGUGCAAAUCUAAACACUGACACAACAAAUAUAAUUAUGCACCUCUCAAGCUUCUCGACCGAGCACUCAGCGCAGGUGAACACUCACGGAAAAAAAUAAGUGGCAUAGCCAUAAAAGUUGCACAUGGAUAAGGUAAGCUAAAACGUAAAUGUUUUGAAGUUGUCACAUGGUCGUGUAAGACAUUUGAACAAAGAUUUAAUAUUAAAUUCCCAGCAAAACAAAUACAAGCAACAAAGAAUUGAGAAGUACAUGGCAGGUGUGACAACACAGCUCGCAACAUGCAUUAUAGAAGAAUUAAAAUUACCAUGCACCAUACUCUAAACCUAAGACAUGGAACAAAUAAACUAAAGGUAAGUGUGCAACCGAUACAAAUGAGCCCCGAAAAAAGACAAAACGCUAGAAAACACAAAAUUAGAAAGUAAAAAUAAAUGUUGGAGAUCAUAAGAAUGCAAAAUAUCCAACAGAAAAGGUGAGCAAAUCACCUAGUAGGAAAUUAGGAAUAAACUAUAGUACUCCUUAUUUAAUGAUGAAGCCUCUUUUUUUCCUUCAUUAGGGAAUAUCACUUCCUUUACAAUCACCAAUCCUGCUACGAAGGAAUUUCCUAUUUAACGUCUCAAAAAAAGGUAUUUCCUAAUUAAAAGUAGUUUUGCUUUUCUAAAGUUUCGACCUUGUAGUUCAUUUCCAACAUCACUUAUAGAGUUCUUGUAGCUAUGCUAUUUACUUAAACCCAAUUUUAGUUACCAAUAUUGAAUUUGAUGAUUAUCCAGGUGGAGAGAGUAAUUAUUUGUUCAAUUACUGUCAAAUUAUUUCAAACUCAGAAAAGGUAAGGGUACUGUAUUGAGUUGGGCUACAUGAUAGUAUACCUAAGAUUCUCGAGAGCUAUAGUUCUAUAUUUAUGAUGGUGUGUUAGUAUAUGAUCUAUUGGCAUAAUUUGUUGGUGUGUUUUUAUGAUGGUGUGUUAGUAUAUGAUCUAUUGGCAUAAUUUGUUGGUGUGUUUGAAAAAUUUAUGUUCCAUAGGCAAGCUCAAGUUGUUUAUGCAUUUUAACAUGGACCCUAAAAACUAAUACUACAUUUUAAUUUAUCGUGAUUUCAAUGAGUAAGAGAGAAAAUGCAUGUUAUGGAGACAUACCCAAGUGCAAGAUAAUGCUCACUACGCCCGAGGAGAUGUAACUCUUGUAGAAGUGAAUGUCGGCGAACGAGCACGUGCCUGAGAAUAAUCUAGAAAAAAGAAUCACAUGAAUAUUUAAACAAAUCAUAUUUAUCUUUUUUACUGGGGAGGGGGAGCAGUGGGGUUUGAACCCUAGUACAAACAGGAGUUCGCUUCGCUUGGUGUCCCCUUGAGGACAUCAAACAAAUCAUAUUAAUACUACUACAUUUUGUACAAAAAUUAGUACAUGAAAAAUUAAGAAUAUCAAAGUUUAAUUAAAAUCCUACUUAUUCAUAAUUAAAAAAUUAACUAAAAUCCUAUUGACAUAAUUAUAUCGAGCAUCCCUAUUUUGGAAGCACCCGAUUAUAUUUUUGUCCAGUACUUCCAAUAUACCUACGGAAAUUACUUCAAUCAUUAAACAUUGCAAAAGUAAUAAAUUAAUCAAACAAUAAUUAAAUCAAUUAUAUUCAAUUAAUUAAUCAAAAUAAGUCUAAGUUAAAACUCUAGGCCCAUUCCUUAAUCCUUAUCAUCAAAUCCAACAAUAUUUCAUUAUCAUCAUCUGUACUCAUGAUCCAUUCCAAACACACUAUUAUUAUCAAUCGAAGAUAGAGACUUAGUUAAAAUCCCCUGUUCCACGGUGCUAUCUCUACUCUCUCAUUCUCGGUUGCACCCAUAGUCACCUCUCUUUGUGUACCCUGUCAAUACUGUCUCACAGCUUCAUCUGCCUCUGCACUUCACAUUUGCAACAGAGAAUGAAUCUCAUCCCCGGCUAUCAAAUCUCAAAUCCCUCUUCUUCUUAAUUUUCGGCGAAUAACCAGAACGGUUUGUUCUCUCCAUCAAUCAGCCGUCCGCCUAUAUCUCACCGCCGUUCCCUAUCGUCGACCACUCUCCUCAGCUCGGCCCGACAAUCAGCAGCUAAGAAAACUGCGUCGAUGUUGCCGACCAGCACUCUCAACACAGACAACAACACAAGAAAUUGAGCCACAACUCAGCCAAAUUCCCAAUCGUCGACCCACCCUGCACACCUAAGCUGCUGCCGAUGCCAACGCCAACCCACACCCUCAACGCAAGCAACAAAUCAAGAAACCCAGCCCCAAGACUAUAGUUCUAUUGUGUUGUGCUGUGCUCAGUUUUGUGAAAAAAUUUCUAGGGUUCAUCAGAAAAUUUAAUGAUAAAAUGCAGGUUUAAGAAAUCAAAGCUCACCUCCUUAUUUUGCUGGUGUAAUGGAUUUCUCUUUUGUGGAUUUUGGUUGAAUUUUGAUCUGACUUUGCACUUUCACCGUCGAAUUUGGGGGAGAUUCUUACGGCAGAACUCCUUUUUUCUUUUCGUCGCCGGAAUUGUAUCAGAUGGUCAAAGUGAAAAACAAAAAUUUGUGAAUCUGAUGAGAUAGACUCAAAUAUUGGAAAAAGGUCACAAAUGGAACGAAAAUUACGAAAAUGCCAUGGGCACUAUUUUUACUACAGUACUAUUCCUCACAAUAGUACCC